AAGCAAUGACUGUUUCUUUUAUAUGCAGGGGAUAGUGUGGGGUGCUGAACUGGUCUUCAUCCCAUGCAUAUGCCUAUAUAUUAAGCAAAGACUUGUUAAUUUCUAGGAGGAGGCUCCAAUUAAGCACUUGCGAACGCAAUAGAGAAUAACAUUUAUCUUUUUGAAAAAGGCUAUAGCCAUGGGAGUACUCUCGAAGCUUUUGCAGUUAAUCUCAUUCAUUGGAGUGAUACAGCUAAUUGCGAUGGUUGCAGCAGCGGCAGCUCAACCCAAGCCUGGCUGCCUCGAAAAGUGUGGGAAUGUAACAAUUCCAUAUCCAUUUGGCUUGAGUGAAGGAUGCUACUUGGAGAAGUCUUUCAACAUCCGUUGUAAUGACUCUGAUCUUACGGCAAAGACCGGGAACGUCCUUGUUACGAACAUAUCCAUUGAGGAUCAUGAAAUACAUGUCAAGGCACGUGAAGCCCGAGACUGUUACAAUGCGUCGGGUUCCAUUGAAUUCAAUAAUACGACCUGGUUUCGUGCAGGCAAGUUCACCAUUUCUACAACCAAAAACCAGUUCACUGUUCUUGGCUGUGACACUGCGGGCAUUAUUCGUUGGGAGGAAAAUGAAAAAAUAUACUCGACAGGGUGCAGAUCUCGAUGUAAUGACCUAAGCACUGCGGUCAACGGGUCUUGCUCUGGCGUUGGGUGUUGCAACGUAGAGUUUCCAGAUGGCUUGAAAAAUUAUAAUCUGAGUGUGUCCAGCUUUAAAAAUCACACAAACAUAUGGAACUUCAAUCCUUGCAGCUAUGCUUUUAUCGUCGAAAAAGGAAAGUUCAACUUCUCCACGGAUUAUCUUCAGAAACGGGAACGGGAAAGGCGUCCAAUGGUACUUGAUUGGGCAGUUGGGGACGAAAGAUGCGAAGAAGCUCGGAGAAAACCGAAUUUCGCAUGUCAGGAUCAGAAUAGUGAAUGCCAUGAUCCAAAAACGAGGUCGGGGUACCAGUGCAAGUGCAAGCUGGGUUACCAAGGGAACCCAUACCUCCCUCUCGGUUGCCAAGAUAUAAACGAAUGUGAGGAUGCUACUCUCAAUAAAUGCAAAAGAGCACAAGAUUGUGAAAACACAAAGGGCAGCCAUAUAUGUCGUUGCCCCAAGUGGUACCAUGGUGAUGGAACAAAAGAUGGGGAAGGUUGUGCUCCGGAUUUCGUACUUAUGAUUCAGAUUGCCAUUGGAGCUGGAGUAGGCUUUAUUUCUCUGCUUGUGUUUAGCUCUUGGAUGUACUUCGUACUCAAGAAAAGAAAGAUUGUCAAGCUCAGAGAGAAGUUCUUCCAACAGAAUGGAGGCUUGAUUUUACAACAACGGCUCGGCCAACAAGAAGGAUCCACAGAAACAGUCAAAAUCUUUACCGUAGAUGAGCUGAAGAAGGCUACCAAAAACUAUGAUGAGAGCAGGAUAAUUGGCCGAGGAGGUUUUGGUACCGUUUACAAAGGUUUUUUAGCGGAUAAUAAGAUUGUUGCCAUAAAGAAGUCCAGGAUAGAAGAUGAAAACCAAAUUGAGCAAUUCAUCAACGAGGUUGUUGUGCUCUCCCAAAUUAAUCAUAGGCAUGUUGUCAAACUCUUGGGAUGUUGUUUAGAGACACAAGUUCCUUUGCUUGUCUACGAAUUUGUCUCAAAUGGUACCCUUUUUAAGUACAUUCAUCAGGAAAGCAAUGCGUCCACAUUUCCAUGGGAAACCCGCUUGAGGAUAGCUGCAGAAACAUCUGAGGCACUAUGGUAUCUACACUCUACAGCCUCAAUACCUAUAAUUCACAGGGAUGUAAAAUCAACAAAUAUAUUGCUUGAUGAUGAUUUCACUGCAAAAGUUUCAGACUUUGGAACUUCAAGAUUGGUUCCGAGAGAUCAAGCGCAACUUGCCACUGUAGUGCAAGGAACUCUUGGAUACUUGGAUCCUGAAUACUUGCAAACAAACCAAUUGACAGAGAAAAGUGAUGUCUAUAGCUUUGGAGUGGUGCUAGUGGAGCUACUUACAGGAAAGGAGGCACUGUCAUUUGCUAGGUCCGAGGAGCAAAGAAGUCUGGCCAUGUAUUUUAUUUCUUCCAUAAAAGAGGAAAGAUUGUUUGAAAUUCUUGAAAAUCACAUAGUUGCAGAAGGAAAUAAGGAUCAAAUCCAACAAUUUGUGGAGCUUGCAAGGAGCUGCUUAGCAGUAAAAGGGGAUGAGAGGCCUACAAUGAGGGAAGUAGCAAUGGAAUUAGAAGGAAUAAGAAAGAUGCAGAAGCAUCCCUGGGUUAACUUGGAAGCAAAUUCGGAAGAGGUCGAAUACUUGCUUGGUGAGGCAUGCGAGGCUAACAAAUAUGGGGAAAGUAGUAUUACUAUAACUACUGCAUAUUAUCAUAGCAUGAAUGACCAUGGAACAUACGCCUUGGGAGAUGGAAGAUGAAUGUUUUAUGCUAACCUAUAUGGAUCUUGAAGGCAUUUCCUUAUCCUGCAUAUAUGCAAUUUCCUGCUUUUAUUCUGAAUGCGCAUUCCCUUCUACCGGUAUCGGUAUGACACGUCCUUAAUUUGUAGUUGUUAUUUAAUGUGAUUGGCGAAUCUGCAGUAAGUGCUUGUUUUUCUUGUGUUUUGUUGUUGUUGUUGUUGUUUGUGUGUUUCAUUCUUCCUCUUAUGACAUUGCCUUCUUGUUUUUUAUAUGUUCCUACAGUUGUAAUAUUUUAAGUUGCUGAACUGCUUAUAUUGUCAUACUGCUCUGCAUACAUAUCUUCUGUUAUUUAUACUUGAUUGACAUUCUGCAUGCUUCAAGUUGUCUUGAGAGAUAAAUAAAUAAACAAAAACUUACUUCUUCGACUGCAUGGAAUGCUUAGUUGACAUAAUGCUUUCCGUUCAGUCAUGGAACUUCUGUGACUCUGUCCAAAGGGUUUAGUUGACCGUAUUAUUCAUAUUGAUCAGACUAGACUUCCCUUUUAAUGAGUUUGUAUUACUCCAAAAACAUGCAAUAUAUAAUGAAUCUCGAACAGAGCAUCCUAUAGAUUUUAAGUUCAAAUUAAUUCACAUAAGAACUAGCUCCCACACACACACACACACACACACAUAUAUGGCCUAAUCCUCUUCAAGAUUAAACAAAAGUACAAGCUUUGAUGAGGACAUAGAGCACAAAGAAGCCUAACACUCCAGAUCUUUAAACACUUCCUACUAAAAUUCCUUAACAUUAAUAUGAAAAAAAAAGACUUAAAAUAGUCUUCACACGCUCAAUCUGCGCAUAAAAGUUAUAAAAAUCUACAGAGUCAACCAUCAAGUGAAUGGACAAAGAGGCAAAAUAAUUGAGCUGCACAUGUAUUCAGCAUCUCCUUAAACAUUCAGUAGUCAUCGUAAUUCUUGUUCAAGAAUUCAGCAAAAUAAAAGUUCAAUUACGCCAUACUGCAAUAUUGUGCAGCUAAUUAUAGUGGAUGUAUUUCCCCGGAAAGUUUUUGUUCAUUCAGUGAUUCUUGGCUGAUAUUGUAUGUCUUCAUGAUGUAUCACGUAACCAUGUGAAAGGAAUGGUUGCACUAGCAGAAGAAACUCAGUAUGGAACAUGCAAAAUACUAUCAGCUGACUUAAAAAAUAGUGAGUAAAAUGAAGUGUGAGCAUUAUUUUUCCAUUAUAUGAAGCCAAUGCUUUACUCAAAUCCAAGAUAUCACCUCUAGAGAUCACUGCCAUACCAAGAACGAGAUACUACAAUAUAUGUGUAAUAAAGUGGCGCCCAAAGUUGGCACUUGGCACCCCUUCCUCUUCAUAUGUCCACGUAUGAAGUGGCUAUUAACGGGUAACAAUUGGAGAGGCUAUAUAUAGCCUCUCCUCCCUUAGAGGUUGGGGCCUCGUGGACUAAAGUCAAAAACCUCUCUCUCAAAUAUUUAGGUUCUCUCUGAUCCCAGUAUCAGGCUGUGCACUCUGAUCUAGAAUUUCUAACAUCAUGAUAAGUUUUAUUUCAUUUUUCGGAGAAAAAUAUGAUCUAUAAGAGCAUAACGUUGAAGAUUAAUAAAAAAGACCUUCGGUAGGCCAGGUCUUGCAGCCUGAUGGCAUUACGUACUCACCUUCGAACAUGUUGUGGUCGAAUGCCCAAAUACCUUACAGGAUUUGCAAAUUUCAUAGUCCCUCUAUAAUGAAGGAUAUCUGGAAAUCGAAAUCCCCCUUCCCCACAAUUCCCUUAUAAAAAAUUGAUUAGUUCAUCACCAUAUAUAGUGGUAGUUGGCAUCAUGAGAGAAAAGCCUCUCCAAAAGGAGAAUACAAAACUAUAUCCUGAAAUCGCCCUCUACAAAGUUGUUCCGUUUUGAAUGCAAAUCUCAACUAUCUUUACAACUGAGUACUUACUAUAUCUGCUGCCAAAGUGAAAUAAAUCUACAAGGGUGCGAAUCUGUUCGUACGAUGUCAGAUUGAUAUAAAGACUAGUUUGCGAAACUCUGCAGGCUUCCUUCUCUUUAGUGCAAUUCUAAAACUGCCUUUCUUACAGUUUAGAGGGAGGCGUACGUCGAAUUGAAGUUCUUCAGAUCGCGACUAGUUCUUACCAUCUGAGGAAGGGAGGUUUCUGUUGGCCCUCCAGGUAGUAGAAGAUGAUGAAGUUAGAGAAUUGGUGCGUUUGGAGGGGGAUGAGGAAGGAGAGGGGAGCUUCUUAGGCAGCAUCUGUUCCCAAUAUUCCUUAGGCAAUCUUGAUGCUUCUGAAAGAACAAUGGAAGCAAGAAGAGUCAAGAGCAAGCACUUCACUAACAUCAUGUUGAAGAACACUGAUCAACAAAUCGCCAGAGCGCUCUUUUCACUUUCAAUGCCUGCAGCUUUAGAGUGACUGUUGCAGCAGACAUGUUGAGUAAUGUAUGGAGACUGCCAACUCGGUUGUUUGAGGAAAGAUUACUUAAUGGCAGACAAUGGGGUAUUUGAUAAUUCAUAUCUUUGAAGCAGCUCAUGUUCAUGUUGCUCUCAUUGUCCAAAUAGAAAUAUAGAAUUUGAGUACGUGUGAGGGAGGAAAUUUAGGGACUUUUAUAUUCAGUAACCCUCAUUGGUUGAGUACUAUAAUUGUUUAAUC